rnacentral:rRNA from 1 species
CAGCCGCCGCGGUAAUACAGAGGGUGCGAGCGUUAAUCGGAUUUACUGGGCGUAAAGCGUGCGUAGGCGGCUUCUUAAGUCGGAUGUGAAAUCCCUGAGCUUAACUUAGGAAUUGCAUUCGAUACUGGGAAGCUAGAGUAUGGGAGAGGAUGGUAGAAUUCCAGGUGUAGCGGUGAAAUGCGUAGAGAUCUGGAGGAAUACCGAUGGCGAAGGCAGCCAUCUGGCCUAAUACUGACGCUGAGGUACGAAAGCAUGGGGAGCAAACAGGAUUAGAUACCCCAGUAGUCCUUGUCUCUUAUAC